UGCCAGCCGCCGCGGUAACACGUAUGGUGCAAACGUUGUUCGGAAUCACUGGGCCUAAAGAGCGCGUAGGCGGUUUGGUAAGUUAGGUGUGAAAUCCCUCGGCUCAACCGAGGAACUGCACCUAAUACUGCCUGACUAGAGUGCAGGAGGGGAGAGUGGAAUUCCUGGUGGAGCGGUGAAAUGCGUAGAUAUCAGGAGGAACGCCGGUGGCGAAAGCGACUCUCUGGCCUGCUACUGACGCUGAGGCGCGAAGGCGUGGGUAGCGAACGGGAUUAGAUA
rnacentral:rRNA from 1 species